GGGUUGUGAGGUUAAGCGACUAAGCGUACACGGUGGAUGCCCUGGCAGUCAGAGGCGAUGAAGGACGUGCUAAUCUGCGAUAAGCGUCGGUAAGGUGAUAUGAACCGUUAUAACCGGCGAUUUCCGAAUGGGGAAACCCAGUGUGAUUCGUCACACUAUCAUUAACUGAAUCCAUAGGUUAAUGAGGCGAACCGGGGGAACUGAAACAUCUAAGUACCCCGAGGAAAAGAAAUCAACCGAGAUUCCCCCAGUAGCGGCGAGCGAACGGGGAGCAGCCCAGAGCCUGAAUCAGUGUGUGUGUUAGUGGAAGCGUCUGGAAAGGCGCGCGAUACAGGGUGACAGCCCCGUACACAAAAAUGCACAUACUGUGAGCUCGAUGAGUAGGGCGGGACACGUGGUAUCCUGUCUGAAUAUGGGGGGACCAUCCUCCAAGGCUAAAUACUCCUGACUGACCGAUAGUGAACCAGUACCGUGAGGGAAAGGCGAAAAGAACCCCGGCGAGGGGAGUGAAAAAGAACCUGAAACCGUGUACGUACAAGCAGUGGGAGCCUCUUUAUGGGGUGACUGCGUACCUUUUGUAUAAUGGGUCAGCGACUUAUAUUCUGUAGCAAGGUUAACCGAAUAGGGGAGCCGAAGGGAAACCGAGUCUUAACUGGGCGUUAAGUUGCAGGGUAUAGACCCGAAACCCGGUGAUCUAGCCAUGGGCAGGUUGAAGGUUGGGUAACACUAACUGGAGGACCGAACCGACUAAUGUUGAAAAAUUAGCGGAUGACUUGUGGCUGGGGGUGAAAGGCCAAUCAAACCGGGAGAUAGCUGGUUCUCCCCGAAAGCUAUUUAGGUAGCGCCUCGUGAAUUCAUCUCCGGGGGUAGAGCACUGUUUCGGCAAGGGGGUCAUCCCGACUUACCAACCCGAUGCAAACUGCGAAUACCGGAGAAUGUUAUCACGGGAGACACACGGCGGGUGCUAACGUCCGUCGUGAAGAGGGAAACAACCCAGACCGCCAGCUAAGGUCCCAAAGUCAUGGUUAAGUGGGAAACGAUGUGGGAAGGCCCAGACAGCCAGGAUGUUGGCUUAGAAGCAGCCAUCAUUUAAAGAAAGCGUAAUAGCUCACUGGUCGAGUCGGCCUGCGCGGAAGAUGUAACGGGGCUAAACCAUGCACCGAAGCUGCGGCAGCGACGCUUAUGCGUUGUUGGGUAGGGGAGCGUUCUGUAAGCCUGUGAAGGUGUACUGUGAGGUAUGCUGGAGGUAUCAGAAGUGCGAAUGCUGACAUAAGUAACGAUAAAGCGGGUGAAAAGCCCGCUCGCCGGAAGACCAAGGGUUCCUGUCCAACGUUAAUCGGGGCAGGGUGAGUCGACCCCUAAGGCGAGGCCGAAAGGCGUAGUCGAUGGGAAACAGGUUAAUAUUCCUGUACUUGGUGUUACUGCGAAGGGGGGACGGAGAAGGCUAUGUUGGCCGGGCGACGGUUGUCCCGGUUUAAGCGUGUAGGCUGGUUUUCCAGGCAAAUCCGGAAAAUCAAGGCUGAGGCGUGAUGACGAGGCACUACGGUGCUGAAGCAACAAAUGCCCUGCUUCCAGGAAAAGCCUCUAAGCAUCAGGUAACAU
rnacentral:rRNA from 1 species